rnacentral:lncRNA from 1 species
UGAAAUUUGAAAAAAAUAGGCAGGACAGGAGUUUUGAGUUAAAAAAAAAAAGGCAGGAUGAGCAACUUGGUAAAAAAAAAAAAAGGCAGGAUGACAAUUUGUGUAAAAAAAAGUCAGGAUAAAUUAGUAAAAAAAAGGCAGGACUGAAUAGAGUAAAAAAUAAAAAGGCAGGACAGAGAUUACAACUAAAAAAAAAAGCAGGACAAAAUUUUUCAUCCUAGCCCCCCCAUAAAAAUCAAAUGGUAGCUCCCUAACUUAAAUAUUUGUUAAAAAAAAAGAAACGGAAAUACCGUAACGUUUCCGAUUUUGGUUCUGUUGUUAGGGAUUUUAGUUGUGACGUUAUUUAAAUUAUGACGUCAUAUGCAAUGUAAACAAAGAAACACUAUCAUCAGGUAACGUUUUUUCAUAUCAAGGAAUUAUUAGAAAUGAAAUUGGUGUUGCGCGUUCCUUCCUAUUUUAUACUAGACUGAUAAAUAUAUAUUUUACUCAAAGUUUCAUACAAACGAGACCGGAAAAAGGAAGUACAUUGUACAUUUCUGCGCCGGUCCGGGAUUUCAAAACACGACAAAAAAAAUUUGAACGAUUUUGAGUUCAUUAGUAUACAAUGAAAAAUUCGGGAAAUUUUCCCGUAUUUUUUUUUUUAUUGAAUUUUCUACUGUUAUUGGGGACUCCGUCCCCAUAU